UGCAUCGAUGAAGAACGCAGCGAAAUGCGAUACGUAGUGUGAAUUGCAGAAUUCCGCGAAUCAUCGAGUCUUUGAACGCAAGUUGCGCCCGAGGCUUGUCCGAGGGCAUUUCCGCUAGAGCGUCACCGCGCCCCCCACCGAUCCGCUCCCGCCGCGAGGCGCCAGUCGGGUCGAGUGCAAGUGGCCGUCCCGGCGAAGUGGCCUUCUUUCACGAGGAGUCCGCACUUGGAAGGGUCGGCUGAGAUGGAUGGAAUUGGGCCGCCGUGGUGACACAGUCCGCGAUCGGGUGAUUUUGUCGCGAGCCUCCCCCGGGAGGCUCUUGGUGAAUUUUUCUAAGUGCUUGGCUGCGUCCCCCAGUUGGCUCGGGUUACCUCAUGCAGGUCGAGCGCGCCCCCGCGGCGCGCGUCACGCAUCAGACCUCUAAUCGGAAAAGACUACCCGCUGAGUUUAAGCAUAUCAAUAAGCGGAG
rnacentral:rRNA from 1 species